rnacentral:lncRNA from 1 species
UUCUCCUAUUAUUUUCUAUGGAGUUAAAAAGAAAAAUCUUAUUAAAAUAAACAAAAAAUAAGAUUAAAAAUAGACUGGACGGAAUUUUAUUUCAGUUGGUUAAAUGCAUAUAUUUACAUAUAACACAAAAAUUUAAGUCUUUUAUUUAGUGAUUUGAUGAACCUGAAUUAUUAUUGUAAUGACUUGAAAAAACAAUAAUGAAUACAAACCAUAAGAAAGAAACGAGUACAUCCAUAAUAUCAUCAACUUUCCUCUUGAAAAUUCAAUUUUAUUGUUAUUGAUGCAGGUAAUUUAAACUAUUCUUUUCUCUCACAAUUGUAUGAUCAUGGAUGUUAAACCAUUAAGUAACAUCUUUCACUUUUCAAAGAAUAUAUCGAGUUUUUCUUUUUUCUUUUUUCUUUCAAAGUAACAAUGACAAUCAUUAAUAAGUGGAAUUCUAAGGAUUAUAAGUAAUUUACUCAAAGCAUAAAAUUCCUGUAACCAUACAUUAAGAAUAAAUUUAAGUAGUUUCGAUGCAUUGGAAUAAUUUGAAAUAAUAUUUAUAAAAAAUAAAUGAUAUUACUAUACAGAAUUAAGUGGAUAUUGAGAUAAAUUCUUUGAAAAAAUUUAAGUUUUACUUAAUGCUGAAUAUUGUUUUAUAUGUUAAUUUGCAGAAUUCAUUGUAAAUAUUAUAAGUCCUUCUUUCUUCUUUUUUUUUUUUAAUGACUGAAUAUUUUUGUAUAAUAAGUACUAUAUAAAUAUAUAUAUAUAUAUAUAUACAUCUUCAACAAAUAUUUCCGUUUUGCUAUUUUCCUAUCUCAAAAUUUAUAUACUCAAGGUUCUCAAUCGAAGUUUAUCAUGUCCACACUUCAAUAGAUUUGCAUCAACUUGGCAUUUAUUCUUUUGGAAAUACAAAUUUGAUUUUGAAAUAAAAAAUUAAGCAAACUGAUCAUUAUGAAUUUACCAAUAAUACAAAGGUUCUGUGACUAAAAUAAUCUGUAUGUAUUUAUUAAAGCAUCCUAAUACUGAUUCAUCAUCAUAAAACCUAUCAAAUAUUACAUAAGUAUAUAUACUUUCUUUAUCAUAAAUGAGGUUGCGAAUUGGGUCAUAUUUCUUAUCACUUUAUCUAUAUAUAUAUAUAUAUAUAUAUAUUCAACAAACAACAGGCAAUAACAUUCUCAAUUUAGAUUAUUCAUGGACAACUAUCUAUGUAUUACAUGUAAAAAAUGCAAGUCUCUAUGUGUAUGUGUGUAAUGUAGGAUAUCAUAAACUACAUUUGAGUAUGUAUUUCAAAUCUUAGUUGAUAAUUUCAGUUUAAUUUACAUAUUUUUCAGAUGAACACACUAUUUGUACUUGGGACACACAAAAAUCUUACUUUGUUGCCAAAAUAAAUAAAAACUCGCAAAAUAUACUGCUGGUAUUUUUAACAGAACGUGCAUUUAAUGUCAGUACAACAUACAAACGUUUAUAAAAUGCUAUUUGAUGCGUAUUUAUAAUACUUUAUCUUCCACUAUUUUUCUAAAGUUUUUGGAGUACAUUCACACAAAAUCGGUACUAUUCUUUAAUAAUAUCUCUAAUUUAUCAAUCAUCAUAUUCUCUAAAGUAUUUAUCCGCAAAGUAUUAUUCAAAUUUAAAAUCAUAGAAUUUACCAUUCAGUUGUGGAGGUGGAAAAAUUGUUUGCAUGGGUCUCAGUUAUAUUGAAAUUCAAUUGAAUGAUAAAUCAUAAAUCACGAGGUGAUAUUUAAGACUGGUUGGGUAUUAUAUAGUUUGCAAACAUCUACUCAAUAAGUACAAA